rnacentral:tRNA from 1 species
GCGCCAGUAGCUCAGCUGGAUAGAGCACGGCCCUUCUAAGGCUGCGGUCGAGGGUUCGAAUCCUUCCUGGCGCGCCA